GCCCGCCCGCGCCUGCGGCUGCCUGCGCCGGACUGGAGAGCGCGGAGGGCCGACCUGACCCGCCGAAAGGGCCUGAGGCGAGGGGAGCCCGGGUCCCGGGGCCUUGGGGAAGGACCCGCAGCCGCACGCCGGCCCCAAGUGCAAAGCAUUGACACGACCCCGAGCGGAGAGGGGGCGCCCUCCUUCUCCCGCGCCCAGAGGCCCGGCCGCUCUGGCCCGAGCCCCAGCCUGGCCUCCGACCCAGCUCCGGGUCGUGGCGCCGCCUGGGGGUCCCUGCGCCCCGGAAAGAGACAGCAGGCACUGGAAAGCGAGGCCGGUGGGCGGGCGAGUCGGGAGGCUCGGGCGGCCGAGGUCCGGGAGCGGAUCCCAGGUGGCGGGAGCUGUUGCCACGCUGGCUCCCACCGGCCUCUUUCCAGAUCAUGAAGGUAUUUUUCCUUCAUCAAAUUGAGAGGAAGUCCGUAGUAAAGCUGCCCGUUGACCAGGUAGUGCCGAGAGAAUCGGUGCCCUGGCAGGAGGGACUGGCUUAUGCCACCCUGUGCAGGAUCGUCUUCUCAGCUUACAGAGCCUAGUGUGAUUCAACAACCCUCCAUCUCUGCCCCCAACAUGCCCAACUGAUCUGGUGGAGGGAACUGAAGAUGAAGGCCUCUCAGGCACCAUGGAUGGGAUGGGUGUGUGUGAAGGGGGCAGGGUCCCCAGGAGCUGCCCCAGGUCUGGCUGGACAGUUGCACGGGAAGUCCUGUUUGUGAACUCAACGUUUCCACGGCUUUUCCAUUAAACUUUACCCCAAAUC
rnacentral:lncRNA from 10 species